AUGCAGGAAGCACUUGUGGCCUUCCGGGCUGCGCCAACCCCUGCCAUUUUGCUGCCUGAGGUGGAGAAGCUGACAUCUCCUGGGUGCCUAAGAACCAGAAUCGGUCCCCUUAGUUUGCACAUCCAUCAAUGCCUUCAAAGAAGUUGGUUGUUUGUUUAUUCAUCCCACCGCCCCCAGUCAAGGAAUCACCUGCACUUUGUAGACAUGCCGUUUGGAGUGUCCCUACACGCCUGCCCGGGCCGAGCUUUUAUUGCGACACGUGUACCACCGUGCUUGUGUGAACCCGUCAUGGAGCCGAUCGCGGUCUUUCCAGCCCAGAAGGAAAUGAACCGCGGCCAGCAUCUCCCUCGGCAAGAUUCGGCGUCUGGGACGCGAAUCGGCCACCAGAGGGCAGCAAGAGACCGAGGCUGCGCCCCCAAGAGGCUGCAGCUCUUCCCUUCCGCAGGAACUUCGUGUUUUCUAGCGAUGGGGGAAAAUGUGGGGCGCUGCAGCAUCCUCGGGAAUUUUAUUUCAUUCUCCCCCCCCCGGGCGCGCAUGCGUGAGCGCUGGGAUGGACCGGGGAUUUUAUUUCAUUCUCCCCACGGGCGCGCAUGCGUGAGCGCUGGGAUGGAGGGAGGCAAAACUGCCAGAUCUUCAUUGCCCCGAUUGAUUUGUAUUGCCCCUUCGACUCAAACCUAUGGAGCCAUAGAAUGGCCUGAGUUCGAGGGGACCCCCGAGGGUCAUCUGUUCCCAUACUGGGACCCCCAGAUGUUCUUGGACUGCAAUUCCCACACUGGGACCCCCCCAGAUGUUCUUGGACUUCAAUUCCCAGAAGGCUUCACCACCAGCUGUGCUGGCCAGGAUUUCUGGGAGUUGCAGUCCAAGGACAUCUACGGACGCUACAGCAGCUGCCGCUGUGGUUUCUUUUUUAAAGAAAAUAUCAUAACACUGCACAUGUUGUUCUUGUUUCAUAUUAUUUUAUUAGUGCAAGUCAUUCCGAUCAAUGUUUUUCGUAGAAAAGUAGGGUGGGAAAAACAAAUGCAAUGUCUGCCAGGCAGGAACAGCGUGUACUCGGUCGCUUCCAGCCUCUCCUGGAUUUGGUAG
rnacentral:lncRNA from 1 species